AUCCAUCCAGAACUAUCCUAAAUACACAGUCUUCCAUGUUGGGAUUGUCCUUAAUCUUAACCUUCAUAUCCACAGUAGCUCUUCCUUUGAGAAGAGGCAUGUUGCUGUACUCUUCUGGUAUUUCAAAGGGAAAGCCAUCGACCAUGUCUUCUUCUACACUGCAGAAAUGCAAUGUCCCAGGAAGAUCUCAGCUGCAGAGUCAAUGACAAGGUAUAAAUGAGAAGAGCUGUUUCAUAACAGUUCUUACAGCUAUUUAGUUACAAUUCUGUUCUCUAGCAUUAGAGAGUUAUUUGUUUAACAAGAUUUUUUUCUCGAUGAACAAGAAUGUUAUAUUGACAGAGAAAUUUCACGUGGUUUUCAGGAAUAGGUUUCAGAACUAUCGCUGCUUUCCAUAACACUGGCAUGAAAAUGAACAUGGUAAUUUUGCUUAAAGGAGUAAGUUUACCCACGUUCCAACAUACUGGAGAAGCUCUUUCUGCUUUGGAGCUACUGCAUCCCUAUUUCUGUCUUCCACAAUUCUUUGAAGCUCCUCAAAUCCAACAGCCAACUUAUUCAACAACUCUUCUCCAUUUGCUCUUUUUGGUUCAGCAAGGCCAGCAAGAA
rnacentral:lncRNA from 1 species